rnacentral:rRNA from 1 species
UACGUAGGGGGCUAGCGUUGUCCGGAAUCAUUGGGCGUAAAGAGCGUGUAGGCGGCCCGGUAAGUCCGCUGUGAAAGUCGGGGGCUCAACCUCGAAUGCCGGUGGAUACUGUCGGGCUAGAGUGCGGAAGAGGCGAGUGGAAUUCCUGGUGUAGCGGUGAAAUGCGCAGAUAUCAGGAGGAACACCGAUUGCGAAGGCAGGUCUCUGGGCCGCAACUGACGCUGAGGAGCGAAAGCAUGGGGAGCGAACAGG